AACUCGGCUGCAUGAAGCCGGAAUCGCUAGUAAUCGCGGAUCAGAAUGCCGCGGUGAAUACGUUCCCGGGUCUUGUACACACCGCCCGUCACACCAUGGGAGUCGGAAAUGCCCGAAGUCGGUGACCCAACUGAGAAGAGGGAGCCGCCGAAGGCAGGUCCGGUAACUGGGGUGAAGUCGUAACAAGGUAAC
rnacentral:rRNA from 1 species